rnacentral:rRNA from 1 species
UUUGGUGGCGAUAGCGGAGGGGUUCCACACGUACCCAUCCCGAACACGACCGUUAAGCCCUCCAGCGCCGAUGGUACUUGGACC